rnacentral:rRNA from 1 species
CUACGGGGCGCAGCAGUGAGGAAUAUUGGUCAAUGGGCGCAAGCCUGAACCAGCCAUCCCGCGUGGAGGAAGACGGCCCUAUGGGUUGUAAACUCCUUUUAUAAGGGAAGAAUAUAUGUAUCGUGAUAUGUACUGACGGUACCUUAUGAAUAAGCAUCGGCUAACUCCGUGCCAGCAGCCGCGGUAAUACGGAGGAUGCAAGCGUUAUCCGGAUUCAUUGGGUUUAAAGGGUGCGCAGGCGGACUAAUCAGUCAGUGGUGAAAUCUUACGGCUUAACCGUGAAACUGCCAUUGAUACUGUUAGUCUUGAGUACGGUUGAGGUAGGCGGAAUGUGUAAUGUAGCGGUGAAAUGCUUAGAUAUUACACAGAACACCAAUUGCGUAGGCAGCUUACUAGACCGUAACUGACGCUGAGGCACGAAAGCGUGGGUAGCGAACAGGAUUAGAUACCCGGGUAGUC